rnacentral:rRNA from 1 species
ACGCCGGCGGCGUGCCUAAUACAUGCAAGUCGAACGAGAACCCUUGGAUUCGUCUGGGGGGGAGAGUGGCGAACUGGUGAGUAACGCGUGGGUGACCUGCCCCGAAGACGGGGAUAACCGUUGGAAACGACGGCUAAUACCCGAUAUACUCGGUGAUUCGGUUCAUCGAGUAAAGGCUCCGGUGCUUCGGGAUGGGCCUGCGGCCUAUCAGCUAGUUGGUGGGGUAAUGGCCCACCAAGGCGAAGACGGGUAGGGGGCGUGAGAGCGCGGNCCCCCACACUGGCACUGAGAUACGGGCCAGACUUCUACGGAAGGCAGCAGUCGGGGAUAUUGCACAAUCGGCGAAAGCCGGAUGCAGCGACGCCGCGUGGGCGAUGAAGGCCUUCGGGUUGUAAAGCCCUUUUAUGGGGGAAGAGACAAGGACGGUACCCCAAGAAUAAGCGUCGGCUAACUACGUGCCAGCAGCCGCGGUAAAACGUAGGACGCAAGCGUUAUCCGGAUUUACUGGGCGUAAAGAGCGUUGAGGCGGUUCCGUAAGUUGGGCGUGAAAGCCCCGGGCUUAACCCGGGGAGGUCGUUCAAUACUGCGGGACUUGAGGGCAGCAGAGGGAGGCGGAAUUCCCGGUGUAGCGGUGAAAUGCGUAGAUAUCGGGAGGAACACCAGUGGCGAAGGCGACCUCCUGGGCUGUUUCUGACGCUGAAGGCGAAAGCUAGGGGAGCGAACGGGAUUAGAAACCCCGGUAGUCCUAGCCGUAAACGAUGGAUGCUGGGUGUGGGGGGUAUAGAUCCCCUCCGUGCCGAAGCUAACGCGUUAAGCAUCCCGCCUGGGGAUUACGGCCGCAAGGCUUAAACUCAAACGAAUUGACGGGGGCCCGCACAAGCAGCGGAGCGUGUGGUUUAAUUCGAUGCUACACGAAGAACCUUACCUGGGCUUGACAUGUAGGUAGUAGUGAAGCGAAAGCGGAACGACCCUUCGGGGAGCCUACACAGGUGCUGCAUGGCUGUCGUCAGUUCGUGCCGUGAGGUGUCGGGUUAAGUCCCGUAACGAACGCAACCCUUGCCCUUAGUUACAUGUGUCUAAGGGGACUGCCCGGGACAACUGGGAGGAAGGUGGGGAUGACGUCAAGUCAGCAUGGCCUUUAU